rnacentral:misc_RNA from 1 species
GAUGAAGAACGUAGCGAAAUGCGAUAAGUAAUGUGAAUUGCAGAAUUCAGUGAAUCAUCGAAUCUUUGAACGCACAUUGCGCCCCCUGGUAUUCCGGGGGGCAUGCCUGUUCGAGCGUCAUUUCACCGCUCAAGCCUCGCUUGGUAUUGGGCAACGCGGUCCGCCGCGUGCCUCAAAUCGACCGGCUGGGUCUUCUGUCCCCUAAGCGUUGUGGAAACUAUUCGCUAAAGGGUGUUCGGGAGGCUACGCCGUAAAACAACCCCAUUUCUAAGGUUGACCUCGGAUCAGGUAGGGAUACCCGCUGAACUUAAGCAUAUCAAUAAGCGGAGGA